rnacentral:RNase_P_RNA from 1 species
GUUUGCAAAGAAGAGGAAAGUCCGGGCUCUACAAAGAUACGGUGCCAGGUAACUCCUGGCGGGGGCGACCCCAGGGACAGUGCCACAGAAAAUAUACCGCCUUAUCAAGGCAAGGGUGAAAAGGUGUGGUAAGAGCACACCGGUUUUUUGGUAACAAAAAACGCAUGGAAAACCCCACCGAGAGCAAGACCAAGUAGAGAUGACAUUGUUUCUUCGGAAACUAAAAACAAUCUUUGGUUAGUCAUAAGGGUUGGUCGCUCGAGCUGAGAGGUGACUUUUAGCCUAGAGAAAUGACUUGUUUAAAUGACAGAACCCGGCUUACAGUUUAUCUG